rnacentral:lncRNA from 1 species
UUGCUCCUUCAUUCCUUCCCUAAUCCCUAGGUGUGUGUGGCCGAUUCUUCCAUUGCUUCAGCUGCUGCAGCUACCUAGCAACCACAAAGCACAAUAAUGGCCACCGCCCUCAGCAGCCUCCGCGCGCCGGCUUUCUCCGUCCGCGCCGCCCCGGCGCCGGCGCCGGCCACCGUCGCGCUGCCGGCCAAGGUCGCCCGCGGCGCCAGGCUGCGCGCGCAGGCCACCUACAACGUCAAGCUCAUCACCCCCGACGGCGAGGUGGAGCUCCAGGUGCCCGACGACGUCUACAUCCUCGACCAGGCCGAGGAGGAUGGGAUCGACCUGCCCUACUCGUGCCGCGCCGGCUCCUGCUCCUCCUGCGCCGGCAAGGUCGUCUCAGGCUCCGUCGACCAGUCCGACCAGAGCUUCCUCGACGACGGCCAGGUCGCCGCCGGGUGGGUGCUCACCUGCCACGCCUACCCCACCUCCGACGUCGUCAUCGAGACGCACAAGGAGGAGGAGCUCAUCUAAGAAGCUCGAUCACUACCUGCUACGCGCUUGCUAUAUCUAGUAUCUGUCUUGCUCUUGCAAGAGAUCGAGUUUGACGACGCCGGACAAUUCCCUUUCUUGUAUCAUGCAUGUCAGUGUCACCAUGAGAC